UUCCAGCACUCGGGAGGCAGAGGCAGGUGGAUCUCUGUGAGUUCGAGGCCAGCCUGAUCUACAGAACAAGUGCCAGGAUAGGCUCCAAAGCUACACAGAAAAACCAUGUCUUGAAACCCCCCCCCCCAAAAAAAAGAGGUGAUCAUUGUUAAUACACAUGCAAAAUUGUUAAUCAUAAAUAGGUACAAAGUUGGGGAGAUAGCUCAGCAGUUAGGAGUGCUGCUGUUCUUACAAAGGACUAGUUUCGUUCCUACCACCCCAGGGAAUCAAUGUCCUCUUCUGGUCUCCAUCGGACGGACGGACACACACACACGCACACUUUCCAUGAAAUCAGAGUUGUUUUGUUUUUGAAGUAGUAGGAACUGAACCUAAGGCCUUGUGCAUUCUAGCCAAGUGUUCUCCCAACUUUUCAAUUAAGCUCUAUCACCAGCCUUUUUUCUUUCUAGAUAGUGUCUCACUAAAUCACCCAGGUUAGCAUUGAAUUCUCAUCAUGACUUGGCCUGUGGGUGCUGUGGGCCUGUGCACAUACUUGGCUGCUGUCAGUCUCUUGUUGUCCUGUAACUGUCAGAUCCUGUUAGGACCCUGCUCUCCCCUGACUGAAGUUGAAUUUGUUUAGUAUCGUAAGUGAACUACAUAGUGACAACAGAAACACACUAAGUCCUUUGUCAGUGCAUGCACGUUUACACAUGUAGGGCAUGCACAUGUGUCUGGAGGCAAGAUGUGCCCUUUUUUUUUUUUUCUACUGAGGCAGGGUCUCUUGAUGAACUCAGUGAUACAUCUUGUCAAGGUAGCCACCUUGCCCACUUGUCUUUUGUGGGCUUUGAACACCCAAACUCCAGCCUCAAGCCAGUGGGGCAAGAGCUUUCUUAACUGAGCCAUCUCUCCAGCCUUGAAAUCUUUCUGCCGCUGCCUCUCAAGUACCUGAAUUGUAAAGGCACAUGGUUUUUGCACUGAAAAAAAUCUACCAAUUUAAAAUAAAUUUUUAGCAGCUGUUUUUUAAAAAUUUAUCUUCAGCCAAGUGGUGGCACACUUGGGAGGCAGAGGCAGGCUGAUCUCUGUGAGUUCG
rnacentral:lncRNA from 1 species